rnacentral:rRNA from 1 species
AUCUGCCUGGUAGUGGGGGACAACGUUUCGAAAGGAACGCUAAUACCGCAUACGUCCUACGGGAGAAAGCAGGGGACCUUCGGGCCUUGCGCUAUCAGAUGAGCCUAGGUCGGAUUAGCUAGUUGGUGAGGUAAUGGCUCACCAAGGCGACGAUCCGUAACUGGUCUGAGAGGAUGAUCAGUCACACUGGAACUGAGACACGGUCCAGACUCCUACGGGAGGCAGCAGUGGGGAAUAUUGGACAAUGGGCGAAAGCCUGAUCCAGCCAUGCCGCGUGUGUGAAGAAGGUCUUCGGAUUGUAAAGCACUUUAAGUUGGGAGGAAGGGCAGUAAGAUAAUACCUUGCUGUUUUGACGUUACCGACAGAAUAAGCACCGGCUAACUCUGUGCCAGCAGCCGCGGUAAUACAGAGGGUGCAAGCGUUAAUCGGAAUUACUGGGCGUAAAGCGCGCGUAGGUGGUUUGUUAAGUUGGAUGUGAAAGCCCCGGGCUCAACCUGGGAACUGCAUCCAAAACUGGCAAGCUAGAGUACGGUAGAGGGUGGUGGAAUUUCCUGUGUAGCGGUGAAAUGCGUAGAUAUAGGAAGGAACACCAGUGGCGAAGGCGACCACCUGGACUGAUACUGACACUGAGGUGCGAAAGCGUGGGGAGCAAACAGGAUUAGAUACCCUGGUAGUCCACGCCGUAAACGAUGUCAACUAGCCGUUGGAAUCCUUGAGAUUUUAGUGGCGCAGCUAACGCAUUAAGUUGACCGCCUGGGGAGUACGGCCGCAAGGUUAAAACUCAA